rnacentral:rRNA from 1 species
GAGUUUGAUCCUGGCUCAGGAUGAACGCUGGCGGCGUGCCUAAUACAUGCAAGUCGAGCGGAAAGGCCCCUUCGGGGGUACUCGAGCGGCGGACGGCUGAGUAACACGUAGGAACGUACCCCAAAGUGAGGGAUAACUGCUCGAAAGAGUAGCUAAUACCGCAUGUGAUCUCCGGAUUAAAGCCUUCGGGCGCUAUGGGAACGGCCUGCGUAUGAUUAGUUAGUUGGUGAGGUAAUGGCUCACCAAGACGAUGAUCAUUAGCUGGUCUGAGAGGAUGAUCAGCCAGACUGGGACUGAGAACGGCCCAGACUCCUACGGGAGGCAGCAGUAGGGAAUUUUCCACAAUGGACGAAAGUCUGAUGGAGCAACGCCGCGUGCAGGAUGAAUG